GGCUUUAGCACCCCGACCACCCUAACAUCUUGCACUGUCUGGGGGCUCCCCGGGCUCAGCAACACCCACCUCUGUGGCUGGGAGCUGGGCUCAGCCACAUCCCUGCAACUUCUCCGGGACACCGCCAUCCAGCUACGCCAAGGCCUGACGGCGGCUCCAUGUUUCCUGCCAAUGGCGGUGCUAUUAAUUUGUCAAACGCUCAGAGCCAUAUGUGGCUCGAGGCUGCCAUGUUGCACAGUGCAAAUCCACAGAGCGUUUCAUCCAAUGGUAUUGCCCUUGAAGGUGGGCAUUCCACAGCCCGCGGCCCUGACGAGGGAAAUGCACAGAGCCUCCUCCUGACCCGCAGCGCACAUGUGAGGAUUCCAAAUAAAGUUGCAGACUCCAUGUUCUUAGGGGAAGAGAGCGUAACUCCCGCUGCUUAAGUGAAGCCCAUGCAUAGUGACUUUGCUCCAGUGAGUCUGGAAAGCGGGACAAGGGAGUAACUUUCCUGUGGAGAAACCUGGCAGAGGCCACGACCGCCAGGUGAGGCGGGUGAUUUAGUGAUGAGUCAUUGACAGAAGGCUCCUUGGCAGGGUGUAAUAAAAAUAGCACUUUACUUCUAUGGUCUUCUUCCCCAAAUUCCAUAAUCCCAAUCAGAUCAUCAGAAAAACCCCAACUGAGAGAAAUUCUACAGCAUGCCUGACCAUUACUCUUCAAAACUAUCCCAGUCAUCGAAAACAA
rnacentral:lncRNA from 1 species